GAACAGACACCUACAGCUCAGUCAGGUGCUCAGAGCCCCAUCCAGCCUGAUCUUGAAUGUCUACAGGGACAGGGCAUCCACCACAUCCCUGGGCAACCUGUGCCAGGGCCUCACCAAUUCUAUUGCAAAAAUCUACUUCCCUAUAUCCAACCUAAAUCUCCUGUUUUAGUUUUAAACAAUUUCUCCUUGUCCUGUCACACUUUAGAAUGAUAUACUAUAGAUGCUUUAGAAUAAAUACUAUAAAAACCAUAUUAUCACCACAUAUCUUCCAAGCCUUCUCAAUUCCUUCAGUUAGAUCACAGACCUACAUGUAAGAAUGCCCAAAUGGCACUCCCUGUGAGACAUUGUUUUUAAAGUGGGAUUUGUCUUAAGGUUAACCGGCUAAAUACCUAAUUCCCUCUGCAGCCAGUGAAAAUAUAUAGAGAAGAAAGUGCAUCCUGGAAGGGUACUUACAAAUCCUAGCUACAUGGAAAAAUUGCCCUCUGGAGGUGUCUCUCUAUCUUCAUUAUUUCAGAGGAACUAAGGGUAGACACAAGAAAAAGAGCAACAUAGACUUGUUUUUUAACCUGGAGCCCAACAGGUGUGGAAGAGCUUAAAGCUGCACCAUUAGCUUCCCCUGCUCUCCAAAGUGGUAAAGGUACACCUAAACUGACAAGCAGGAAUGGAUCUUCACCUGUGCUAGCUACCAAACCAUGCCAAGGAUAAUUUAGGCAAGUGUUAUUUGAUGUGUGUCCAGUUUUCCAGAAACUUUCAGAAUGCAAUAGUAAAGUCAACUGGCUUCUAACACCCAGCAAAAUUUCAUGGUGGUGUUAUACUUACUUGUACAGAUGUAUCCAACAUGACUAACUCAGAACGAACACUGACAUUCUAAACAGCUUAAAUUAAAUAAGAUUAAUUUUACUAUUAGCAAUUGUCAUUUAUAAUACUCUGUCUGUUAAGUAAUAUUGCAACGCCGUGAAAGCAAAUGUAAAAUUAUUCAGAGUGAAACUGAGCUUUUUUUUCCUCAAAUAAUCAGUGGUCUCAUUGCUGCCCAGUGCAAAGAUUUCUUUUAAGGACAUACUGCUGUUCUCAUUGCUUCCAACAAGACUGUACAAAAAAAUAUGCUGGGAUUUUGCUGAUGCUGUGCAAAGAGCACUAUGCUGUACUAGGGGUGACAGGAAUCAUACCAGUAAGCCCACUAAAUAAUGAGCAAUACAGUAUGUCUUGUAGAAAUAAACCUCUGGCUAGUUCUCAAUAUUUCUUGAAACUGUUUCAUUCGUUCCUCUGUUUCUAGAGGAGAAUGUCAGCACAUUACCACAUGAAUAAGGAUUCAGUAACAUUCAUUUAUUUUGUCUUUGUAUAACUGAAAUUUCUGGACAAAUUUUUCCAAGUCAUGCCUACAGAGAUGGAGUAGGUUGGGAGAUGGAGCUGCCCUGUAUUCCUGUAAGCCCAGUCCUGUGUGACUCAGUAUCUCAUUUCUAUUGGCCGUUAGAAUCUCUGUUUCCUGAUCAGAAACAGAGUAAGACUGUUUUGGCUUAAAACAAAGACAGUUUUAUGGUAAGACUAUAAAACUGAUCUGUGCAAACAAUGUCUUUGGUUGUUAGGAUUAAAAGUAGGUGUGCUUUUCUAGGACCUGGAUGUCGUUGGGAGCCUGAGAAAAACAUUGCAAGAAACAUUUUGGAUAGACCAGCAAGAAAGCAAAUAGAAUAGCCAUGGCCCAUGAAGAUCUAAGAGUAAUAUGUCUUCCUGCUAUAAAUCCUUUAGCCAAACUCCUGCCUUACCAAAGAAAGUUCACUUUAAAUGAUUUAUUUUGUUCUGGAAGAGUAGACCAGGUCUGUACUUACAUAUUUACUAAUGGAUGGGCUCAUUUGUUAUUAUUAUGAAAUAUAUUAUCACAUAAAUGGAAUCUGUUCCUCUUCCACAUCAUUGAGGUUGCCAGCAUCUUGGGGCAGUUUCUGGCUGCAGAGCAUACGUACUGUAGAUUUUCUUGUUAUAUGAGAAGAAGUAGGUUGGGAAAGCAUACGGAUAUUCUCCAUUUGGCCUAACAGAACCUACAUGAGUUGCUAAAAGUCCAGAUUAUUGUUCAGAUCCUGAAAAUUCUGUAAUGCUUUGUGCUGUUUUUACCAUUCACACUUCAAAGUUGAGAAAUAUACUUCUGCAUUUUCAUUCUUUUAACACAUUUGUAUUACACCAAGAAACAACUUUUAGUAAAGAGAAGUGAAAUGAGAUAAGCAUUUGGGUUUUUUACUGCAGCUUCUGAGUAUAGACUAUGAGUUCAGCAAAAAAUAGCAACUGCUAUUUACUUCAGGAAAACGAUGAGGUUAAUCUGUGGUUAGUCCUGAACAAAAGCAAGCACACUUACACAUAUCUGUGCACUUAUGUUUCUCCCAGUGGGCCAAUUAGCAUCUACUUCUGCCAAGUACUGAUCACUUCCUGCAAAGGAAGAAGUAUCCUCCAUUCUUUCUGACUCUAAUGGAAGUUGAGGGCACUAAAACCCACUGUCAGCAUCUGGCCCUUUGAGAUUAAUGGCACUAUGCAAAGAGCAUUACUAAACAAUAUACAGCACAGAAGGCACUUUUGGAGCACUGCAAAAAUAGAAUCCCAUUUUAAGACACUCAUUACUGUCAUAUAAAACAGAUGGGAAAGAUAUGAAAGUUUAAGAUUAUAGUAAAAAAAAAUAUCCUGUGCCAAAUGCAACUUCUGAGAAAGUUUGUAAUAGAUUGACAGGAACUAGAUUAAAAAAAUAAAAUUUGGCAAGUACUGCAAAAGAUAAGACUGUAGCAAAAGAGGUGGCCAGAAUAAUGAUUUAAGAAACUGCACAUGCUAGAAAUGUCAGAAAAAUGGAAAGAUAUGUUUUCUGCUUUCAUAGAGAAUGGGAGGGAAGGGAUCUAACUUAAACGCAAAACAAGGAGCAGAAAGAGGAAAAGGGUACAUUUGCUAUUAGUAGAAAUUUUGUCCAUUGCAUAACUGGGCAAAAUAUUUGAGGACUUCAAUGAAAACAUCCCAUCACUGUGUGUAUUAACUAUUUUACAGUGUUGAGGUCCAGGGGGUUACAAAGUGAUAAAACAAGCCCUUAACUAAAUUAUGCCAUAUGGAAAUUUGGCUGUAUGUUUUAAGCUUUCAGUAUCCUUUCAUUGUCUGCCUGAGUGCACAGAGACAAUGAUAAAAUAGGGACUAAUUUUCAAAUGUCUAUGCAUAAGAUUAUGUGACUAAGUCUUUUAACAUGAAUACAUUUACUACACAUCUCUUGUCAUUUACCUCAGCAGAUAAACCAGCAUUAAUUACCAAAAUUCAGAUAGGUGGGCUUAGCGUGCAGAUUAUUAUUUGCCAUUUUAAUUAAGGGACUCAAACUCUGAAUUGCAAGAAUUUCUGUUUCUUGACAAAUCCUAUAAAAGUGAUGAGUCCCUUUCUGUAUUUCAUUAUUAGUACCCAGUACAUCCAUGUCUGCUCAAAUGUCUUUCACUCUCAUGGAGGCAGGUGAUUUGGGAUUUGAAACCCAUUUGUAAUUAACGCUUCAGAGAAGUUGUACCUGUGAACCUGUACAUAAAAACCAAUAAUGCAGAAAAAAUCACCCAAACUAUCUGAAAGGCUUAUGCAACUUGAAUGACAGGAAAAGAAAAGAAAAGAAAAGAAAAGAAAGAAAAGCACCACACACACACACACACACACACAAAAAAAAAAAAACGUUGAACAUUUCAGAGCUGUGGCAACAAACCCAACUGCAGCAACCAGGCGAAGAUCCCAGCCCACUUCCCUGGCACCCCUGCCCCUCAGCAGUGAUGCUUGCUCCUUUCUUUGAUGUUUAUGUUGACAGCAGUGGAGAAAAAUGACAGCAGAUGAUACCAGAGUCAGCAGCAGACAAGUCACUUUGUCAGACAUUCUCCUUUUCACAGCACUUAAUGCAGAUUUAACAGGUUUUCCGGGCAGAUGGAAAAAGAAGUGAAAGAGGAAUAGAUGGGAGUGAAGGCUGAGUGUCAGCAUUCUAAGGAAGGUUUGUGAAGAAGGAAUGUAAUCAUGAUAAGCAGUACGUUGCUCAAGGAAGGAGAAAGCCUAAUAUAAAAAGUUUCAUCCUUUUAGUAAUUCUGCCUAUGAUACACAUUUUUUGUUUCCUUUUUCUUUUCCUUUUUCUAAUUUUUCUUCCUUUUCCUUUUCCUUUUCCUUUUCCUUUUCCUUUUCCUUUUCCUUUUCCUUUUCCUUUUCCCUUUCCUUUUCCUUCUUCCUCUUUCUCUUUUCCCUUCCAUUUCCCUUUUUAUUUCUCUUUUUCAUUUCCCUUCCCUUCCCUUCCCUUCCCUUCCCUUCCCUUCCCUUCCCUUCCCUUCCCUUCCCUUCCCUUCCC
rnacentral:lncRNA from 1 species